rnacentral:piRNA from 1 species
UCUACGGUUCAUUUUACAUCA